rnacentral:tRNA from 1 species
GGUCGCUUAGCUCAGUUGGUUAGAGCGUUCGAUUCACAUUCGAAAGGUCAGUGGUCCGAGUCCACUAGCGACCA